rnacentral:rRNA from 1 species
GCGGGGAUAUACAUAUAAGACGAGAAGACCCCAUGGAGCUUUAAACCUGACAGCACCCGCUCAUUCUAUACCCCAUUAUUUGCCCGACCCCUGUCUGCUCAGUUUUAGGUUGGGGUGACCACGGAGUAUAAAGUAACCUCCAUGAAGAAGGGGAUAUUUCCCUUAUUAGAGAACCACACUUCCAAGAACUAAUAAAUUAAUUUUCAAUGACCCGAUACCCGAUAAUCGAUCAACGAACCAAGUUACCCUGGGGAUAACAGCGCAAUCCACCCUGAAAGCCCUUAUUAACAGGUGGGUUUACGACCUCGAUGUUGGAUCAGGGUAUCCCAGUGGUGCAGCAGCUACUGAGGGUUCGUUUGUUCAACGAUUAAAACCCU